rnacentral:misc_RNA from 1 species
GAUGAAGAACGUAGCGAAUUGCGAUAAGUAAUGUGAAUUGCAGAAUUACGUGAAUCAUCGAAUCUUUGAACGCAUAUUGCACUCUCUGGUAAUCCGGGGAGUAUGCCUGUUUGAGGGUCAGUAAAUAAUAAUUAUCAUGAAUCUUUUGAUUUAUGGAAUUGGGCUUUUAUUUCGAUAGAUCUAUGGCCUUAAAUUUACGUUAUGGGCUUGUCAUAUAAAAUCCGAUCUAAAGGAGCAAUUAAACAUUCUCUCAUUAGCGCGGAUUUUUACAAGCUGUUAUGAUCUUUGGUUGCUUUCAGCAUUUUUACGAGUGCGAAACCAAGAUCGUAAGCUUACUCUAACAAUGACCUCAAAUCAGGCAAGAAUACCCGCUGAACUUAAGCAUAUCAAUAAGCGGAGGA